CCCGAGGACGCACUAUGGCGAGCGGCGUGGGGGGAGGGGGAAACGGCCGCCACGAUCCAGGAACCUCCCACCCGGCCCCUCGCAGUUUGGGUGUGGGUGAGAUUUGGGUGGGGACCCGGAGCCAAGCCCUGUGAGUGCCGGACGCGGCCGGGCUGCACUUUGCCGUGGAGGACUCUGAGGGUAGACGGGAGAUACUUAACUGGCGCGAUUCUGUCUCCCACCUACCCAGUCCCCACUGCGAAGACUUUGGCAGUGACUGCAGGUGUUCUGCUGCUGCAGCCGUGGGGAGGUGUGCUACUGGCAGUGAGUGGGUCAAGGCCAGGCAGGCCACUCAGCAGCCUCAAUAUGCAGGAAAGGUCCCUCCCUAAGGAUUAUCUGGCCCAAAAUGUCAUACCGUCAAGGAUUUGAGAAAUGCUGCCCUGGAGAAUAAGGAUAUCCACGAUAAAUUACAUUAUGAUAAUA